rnacentral:rRNA from 1 species
AACGUAGGAGGCGAGCGUUAUCCGGAAUCACUGGGCGUAAAGGGCGUCUAGGCGGCACGACAAGUGAGGUGUGAAAGCUCCUGGCUCAACUAGGAGAGUGCGCUUCAGACUGUCGAGCUUGGAGGGCAGGUGAAGGGGGUGGAAUUCCCGGUGGAGUGGUGGAAUGCGUAGAGAUCGGGAGGAACACCAGUGGCGAAAGCGGCCCCCUGGCCUGUUGCUGACGCUGAAGCGCGAAAGCGUGGGGAGCAAACGGG